AUUUACAAGAACAAAGUUUGGGGAUUAUUAGCUCAAGAGUAUAAGACGACUGUAACAUCUCUCAAAUCUCUCUGGAAAAAUUUGAGAGAUUGUUUCAUAAAAGAGAGACAUAAAUUAAUUAAAUUGAAAAGUGGGUCAGGGGCUGACCAUCAAAUCACCUGGCCUUUCUAUCAUGAUAUGCUAUUCAUGGUAGAAACCAUCACACCUAGGUCUCAACAGUCCUCUUUAGAUAUAAAGGACUCUAGUUCUAUAGAGGUUCAUGAUAUUUUUAAUGAAAUGACAGGGGAGAAUGAUUGUGAUUUCAUUGAUACUGACAAUACAUCAGAUGUUACAGUUAUUAAUAAAGAUUCUGUA